AACAAAGACAACAGAGAGACUCAUCCUGGAAGCUCUCUCUGCAGAUGACUGUGCUCUCAUGGCCCACCAAGAAAAUCAUCUCCAAACCAUUGUGGACAGGUUCUCUACCGCAACAAAACUGUUUGGCCUGACGAUCAGCCUCAGCAAAACAGAGGUGCUGUUCCAACCUGCACCAGGGAGGCCAACGAACCAGCGGUGCAUUACAAUCGACGGCACGCAGCUUUCUGACGUCAACACUUUUAAGUACUUGGGCAGCACCAUCGCCAACGACGGGUCCCUAGACCACGAGAUUAAUGCCAGGAUCCAAACGGCCAGCCAGGCACUCGGGCGGCUGUGCUGCAAAGUCCUCCAACACAGCAGUGUAAGCACUGCGACGAAGCUCAAAGUGUACAACGCAGGGGUCCUCAGCUCGCUCCUGUACGGUUGUGAGACAUGGACACGGUACCGGAAGCACAUGAAACAGCUGGAGCAAUUCCACCAACGCUCCCUCCAGUUAAUCAUGAGGAUCCAAUGGCAGGACCAAAUCACCAACCAGGAAGUCCUCGACAGAGCCAACUCCACCAGCAUCGAAGUCCUGGUCCUCAAAGCCCAGCUACGAUGGUCUGGACACGUCAUCCGCAUGGACCCACAGCGAAUACCAAGACAGGUAUUCUACGGUGAACUGUCAGCUGGACUCAGGAAACAAGGCCGGCCAAAGAAAAGAUUCAAGGAUCAGCUAAAGUCAAACUUGAAGUGGGCUGGCAGGACACCAAAGCAACUAGAACUUGCUGCCUCUGACAGAAGCAGCUGGCGAACCCACAUUCACCAUGCCGCCACCUUUGAAGAUGAGCGACGUCGACGUCUUGCCGCUGCGCGUGAACGCCGACACCAGGCCACAAUCGCACCUGCUGUAACAACUGGCGUCCCAGGCCCCAUGUGCCACACACUGUGCGCCUCAGCCUUUGGACUCCAAAGCCACAUGAGGGUACAUCAAUAGAUGAUAAUGCACAAAGACAAUUGUCAUUCUUAGACACUGAGAGACUACUACUACUGAGGAAU
rnacentral:lncRNA from 1 species